rnacentral:rRNA from 1 species
AGUGAACGCUGGCGGUAGGCCUAACACAUGCAAGUCGAACGGCAGCACAGUAAGAGCUUGCUCUUACGGGUGGCGAGUGGCGGACGGGUGAGGAAUACAGCGGAAUCUACUUUUUCGUGGGGGAUAACGUAGGGAAACUGAUGCUAAUACCGCAUAAGACUAACGGGUGAAAGUAGGUGAUAUUCGGACCUUGCGCUAUCGAAUGGAUCGAUGUCGGAUGAGCUAGUUGGCGGGGUAAAGGCCCCCCAAGGCAACGAUCCGUAGCUGGCCUGAGAGGAUGAUCGGCCACACUGGAACUGAGACACGGUCCAGACUCCUCGGGGAGGCGGCGGUGGGGAAUAUUGGCCAAUGGGCGCAAUCCUAAUCCAGCACUACCGCGUGGGUGAAGAAGGCCUUCGGGUUGUAAAGCCUGUUUGUUGGGAAAGAAGAGCAGCAGGUUAAUACCCCGCUGUUCUGACGGUAACCAAAGAAUAAGCACCGGCUAACUUCGUG